UGACAAUCUUAAACAUGAGACGGGCCAUAAUAUGUUUUCGCCUUUCUUCCAAGCUUAUCCACCCUAAUUGAUCAAGGGCCAGUUGAGAUUGCCCAGGUUCAUCUUUAAAGUUCAUUAUAAUUCUAGCACAUCUGUUGUGAAGUUUUAGUAGUCGCUCAGACUGGCCUCUAUUAAUUAAUGGAAUUCCAAACUUCACAACAGUGGUCGAAAUGGGGUUG
rnacentral:lncRNA from 1 species